rnacentral:tRNA from 1 species
GGAAGCGUAGCCCAACGGCAGAGGCAGGCGACUUAAAAUCGCCGUGGUGUGGGUUCGAAUCCCACCGCUUCCA